CGCCAGGGUACUACGAGCAUAGCUUAAAACCCAAAGGACUUGGCGGUGUCUCAGACCCACCUAGAGGAGCCUGUUCUAGAACCGAUAAUCCCCGUUAAACCUCACCACUUCUUGUUAAUCCCGCCUAUAUACCGCCGUCGCCAGCUUACCCCAUGAGGGUUAAACAGUAAGCAAAAUGGACAAACCCCAGAACGUCAGGUCGAGGUGUAGCGCACGAAGUGGGAAGAAAUGGGCUACAUUUUCUAUAACAGAAAAUAACGAAUGGUCUACUGAAACACAUACCUGAAGGAGGAUUUAGCAGUAAAAAGCAAAUAGAGAGUCCUUUUGAAUCAGGCUCUGAGACACGC
rnacentral:rRNA from 3 species